ensembl:lncRNA
AUGGGAAACGGGGGGGAAAUGCCCCGUGGGGCCGGGAUGCAGCCUGGGGCGGGUGGAAAAGGCCGGAGGGCAGCGCACCGGGAUGCACCAGCCCCGGCACAGCCUGCCUGGAGCGGCGUCGCCUGCCCCGGCUGCCCCAGCAUGUGGCCCCCAAGCGAUCGAGGCUGCGGCUGCCUCCCCCGCGCUAACCCAGUUUCUCAAGCACCGAGACGACUGCAGAGCCCGCUCGGCAUCCGGAUCCUCCGCCCGGCGAGCGACGGAGCCGCCGAGCCACCUCCCGGCACACCGGGGGCCCCCGGGGACAUGUUACCUGGGCAGCCCAGCCCCGCUCGUCCCCAGCCUGUUUGCAGCCGGUCCCCGGCGCCCGGGGAGGCGGCGCGGCGGAGGAAGGGUUGGCAAGGGCUGCGCGGGCAGGGACCGAAGCGGGUGCAGCCCCGGGAGAGGUGGGCUCCCCGCCGCCGCCGCCAGCAGCGGGGCCGGAGGGAGGAGUCUGCAAACGCACGUAUCCACCGCUGGCCGGACACCUGGACACGCCGGGGCGUGCAGCCUCGCUGCUGCGCGCGCGCGCGCUCGCGCCUGCUCUUGCACGCUCGCCCCAUCACGUGCACGCGCCCAGCGCCGUGCAGAGCCGCCCGCUGCGCCCCAGAGACCCCCCCCCCCAGCAGCUGCUGCCACCCGCCCGGUGCAGCGCUCCCACCCUGCCGAAGCCGCGGGGUCACCCAUCCACCCGGCCGUGCCCUUCAAACCCCCCGGCAGGCCCUGGCCAGCAUCCGCCAGCCCCAGUGCAGCCGGAGCGCCGCAGCCACCGCCGCGGUGGGGGGGUGGGGGGGAAGGGGCCGGGGGCGAGGAGGAGGAGGGAGGGGAAGGGCCCUACCUUCAGGGGUGCCCGGGGCCCGCGGCGGGCAGGUUCGCCUCUCCGCCAGGAGCCAUGCCUGCGCCGAGCAUCCCCUCCCCUGCGCCGCACCGCACGUUGCUACAGCGACCGCCUCCCUCCGCCAGCCGGAGCCGAGCGGGGAUGGCGGCGAGGGAGGAUGUGCAGGAGCUGCUCCGCGCCCCCGCCGCCGAGCCGGGCCCCUUGCCCUGCACCGGGGAGCUGCCCGGGCACCCCCCCCACCCGGUACCAGCCCCAAAACGCCUCUGCCAGCACAGCCCCGCUGCUGGGAGGCUGCAAUUUGCAGCGGAGCAUCCCCGGAGGGGCAGGGGGCCGGUGCGUGCAUGCUGGGGGAGACCCACGGCGCUCGCCCCCAGCGCGCCCCACGGCUCGGGGACCCGGGGGGGGGGGGACAGGCCAGGGUGUGCACAGGGGUGACCCUCGCCUGUGGGGCUGGCUGGCGAGACGGGGCCCCAGCAUGGUGCAGGGCCAGCGGUGCUGGUGCUGAAGUCUGUCCCCCAAGCAAGCCGGGUCCCUCGGGGGCCCCUGGCGUUGGCCACCCCAACAGCCCCGGGUGCCCCCUGCCCUUCAUCCCGGCCGGCAUCGCCUCCCCCUGCACGGCCAGCUCCCCGAAACCCCCCUUUCCCCGGAGCUUUCAAGGCACCGGCCGGAGCCGGCGAGGAGAAAAGCCUUGGGAAAGACACGGGGCGUUUGAGCGGGGCUGGCGGCAGGGCGAGACAUCCUCCAGUGCACUUUCUGCACAGCGAGCAUUCCUGUCUCCACCUCCGCCCCCCGCCCCGGGUCUCACCUCAAAAAACAAGAAAGAAACAGUGUGA